rnacentral:rRNA from 1 species
UACAGAGGGUGCAAGCGUUGUUCGGAAUUAUUGGGCGUAAAGCGCGUGUAGGCGGCUUUGCAAGUCGGGUGUGAAAGCCCUCAGCUCAACUGAGGAAGUACGCCCGAAACUGCAGAGCUUGAGUACCGGAGAGGAUGGCGGAAUUCCCCAAGUAGAGGUGAAAUUCGUAGAUAUGGGGAGGAACACCGGUGGCGAAGGCGGCCAUCUAGACGGAUACUGACGCUGAGACGCGAAAGCGUGGGGAGCAAACAGG